CUCGCUGUGAAGAUGCAGUGUACCCGCGGCAAGACGGAAAGACCCCGUGAACCUUUACUAUAGCUUGACACUGAACAUUGAGCCUUGAUGUGUAGGAUAGGUGGGAGGCUUUGAAGUGUGGACGCCAGUCUGCAUGGAGCCGGCCUUGAAAUACCACCCUUUAAUGUUUGAUGUUCUAACGUGGACCCGUGAUCCGGGUUGCGGACAGUGUCUGGUGGGUAGUUUGACUGGGGCGGUCUCCUCCUAAAGAGUAACGGAGGAGCACGAAGGUUGGCUAAUCCUGGUCGGACAUCAGGAGGUUAGUGCAAUGGCAUAAGCCAGCUUGACUGCGAGCGUGACGGCGCGAGCAGGUGCGAAAGCAGGUCAUAGUGAUCCGGUGGUUCUGAAUGGAAGGGCCAUCGCUCAACGGAUAAAAGGUACUCCGGGGAUAACAGGCUGAUACCGCCCAAGAGUUCAUAUCGACGGCGGUGUUUGGCACCUCGAUGUCGGCUCAUCACAUCCUGGGGCUGAAGUAGGUCCCAAGGGUAUGGCUGUUCGCCAUUUAAAGUGGUACGCGAGCUGGGUUUAGAACGUCGUGAGACAGUUCGGUCCCUAUCUGCCGUGGGCGCUGGAGAACUGAGGGGGGCUGCUCCUAGUACGAGAGGACCGGAGUGGACGCAUCACUGGUGUUCGGGUUGUCAUGCCAAUGGCACUGCCCGGUAGCUAAAUGCGGAAGAGAUAAGUGCUGAAAGCAUCUAAGCACGAAACUUGCCCCGAGAUGAGUUCUCCCUGACCCUUUAAGGGUCCUGAAGGAACGUUGAAGACGACGACGUUGAUAGGCCGGGUGUGUAAGCGCAGCGAUGCGUUGAGCUAACCGGUACUAAUGAACCGUGAGGCUUAACCUUA
rnacentral:rRNA from 1 species